GAGUCUGAGAGGACAUGGCGGUCGGUAAACAGGACUUAAUUCUGUUCCUCAUCCACCCAGAACCCUCCCUGAGGGCCUCCCCUGCACUUUGGAAACAGCCCAAGCUUUGAAAUCAGGAAGUUUGAAGACUGGUUCUGCUACUUCCAGGCUGUGUGGCCUUGGCGAAGAUGUUUUUGCUGUGUUGCCUGGGCUGGUCUCAAACUCUUGGCCUCAAGUCAUCCUCCCACCUCAGCCUCCUGAGUACGAGGGAUUACAAGCAUGAGCCACCACACCCAGCUUCUUUAAAAAGAAAAAAAAAUUUUUUAUUGACAUAUAAGCAUUGUAUAUAUUUAAGGUCUACAACUUGACACUUGAGGGAUUAAAGAGAGGAAUUCCCAGGAAAGUCAGAGACAGACAGCGAUCACCAUGCAAGGCAACAAAUGCCAAAGAGAGGAGGACUGCAGUGUGGGAGCCGUGGAGCCACGAAGAAGCCCUGGGACUCUUGGAAGACUCCACUGGGAAGAGGUGGUUUAAACUGGGUUUUGAAGAAUCGAGAAGGAGAAUCAGCCAAAGAAAUGUGCCAAGAUGCCAAGCUGAGAUAAUUCCAUAGGGCUACAGUGUAAGAGACAGAUCCAGGAAGGUGGGUCCAGGAAGGUGGCAGGGCCACAUCCUGACAAGCCACUGCUGUUAAUGAUGAAGAGCAGGGAGCCUGUGCAGCCUUGGAUUUCAUGGGAUAAUGCCUCCUAAGGCCCUGCUUGGGACAUUAGGCACUCACCCAGCCUCCUGCCCAUGCCAAUGGAGCAGGGGUUCCCUCCAAGUCCUGUCCCGGAAUGGUUCUGUUCCCAGGGAGGAUAGGAACUCGAAUUUGUGGAGCAGCUACUUGAUGUGCCAAACAUUUGUGUUCUCUUCAGCAAGAGGAUACUUGCUGGUGUGCCUGGGAGACUGUCCCAGGAUAAAUGGGGAGUGUCUUUCUAGAAUGUUAAUUGCACUCAAAGAUUGGGGAGGGAAAAUCAAUUAGUGUAAAUGGUAAAUAACUUAAAACAUUAUUUUUACAUCACAUCAAUAGUGGAUAUAUUAUGGAGCAGAAUGCUAAAGUAACACACAUUUUUCUUAAUUUCAUUUAUCAUUUGGAAAGGUAACACGAGCUCAUGAUACAAAAUUCAAAACAUGUAAGAGUUUAGAAUAGGCCGGGUGUGGUGGCUCAUGCCUGUAAUCCCAGCACUUUGGGAGGCCGAGGCGGGCGGAUCAUGAGGUCAGGAGUUCAAGACCAGCCUGGGCAACAUAGUGAAAUCCCAUCUCUACUAAAAAUACAAAAAUUAGCUGGGCGUGGUGGCACGUGCCUGUAGUCCCAGCUACUUGGGAGGCUGAAGCAGGAGAAUUGCUUGAACCCGGGAGGCGGAGGUUGCAGUGAGCCAAGACCGGGCCAUUGCGCUCCAGCCUGGGGACAGAGUGAGACUCCAC
rnacentral:lncRNA from 1 species